AACGCACAUUGCGCCCUUUGGUAUUCCGAAGGGCAUGCCUGUUCGAGCGUCAUUAUCAACCCUCAAGCUUGGCUUGUCAUUGGGCUCUAGUCGGUACAAGACUGGCCUAAAAGAUAAUGACGGUGUCUGUUCGACCCUAGAUGCAACGAGCUUUACAGCACGCAUCAACGGGAAUAGUGGGCCCGGUCUUUUCACCUUUUAUUUUUCAGGUUGACCUCGGAUCAGGUAGGAAUACCCGCUGAACUUAA
rnacentral:misc_RNA from 2 species